rnacentral:rRNA from 2 species
ACGAAACUUGCCCCGAGAUGAGUUCUCCCUGAGACUUAGAGUCUCCUGAAGGAACGUUGAAGACGACGACGUUGAUAGGCCGGGUGUGUAAGCGCAGCGAUGCGUUGAGCUAACCGGUACUAAUGAACCGUGAGGCUUAACCUU